rnacentral:sRNA from 1 species
UAGCUGCAACAAGGCAAGCGAUUAUAACAUAACUAGUGACUUUCCCUUGGUAUUGUUCUGCUCUCUCCUUAGCCACACCGGUCGGACCAAACGACCCUCCUGCCAUUUUCUUUUCUUCUUCUUCUUCUUCUUCUUCUGCUACUAC